rnacentral:lncRNA from 1 species
UCCUCCUCCAACGCCGUGAACUCACGCCCCACAGCCGUACCGACCAAUCAGAACGCAGUCCUCUCCGACACCGCGCCAGCUCGACCAAUCGGAGCGCGGCCUGCUGUGAGGUGCGUGUAUUGUGGCUGUAGCUCUGGUCGGGCAGCAGGAGCAGGAGGCAGAAUCCAGCAGCUCUGUGCUUUAAAGCACUAUUUAUUUAACCUAAAAACAGCGUUUAAAAGCUAAAACCGCUGGAUUUAAGCUAAAACUAAGCGUUUAUUCGCUUUUUACCUUUAAUCUGCUGAAGAACUGGUCUGUCAGCGUUGUUUUGGCUUUGAGUUCAUGCUUUAAGAAGUGCCUGUGCUGCACUGUAUUCUUAUUUUUCGUGUUUUAAGGAGAUUUUAACGUGUUUUUUUUGCACUAAUCCAGCAUAUAUGCUUUAUAUAUAAGCAGGAUUCCCUUUAUAAAGAAGAUAUACAGGAGCUAGCUGGCUGGCUCUGUAGCAGCAACAAGAAAAGGGACGUGUUUUUCCAUAUUCUGAUUUUAUUUUUUGAUUUUUUUGGACGUUUUAUAGUGGGAUUCAGGCUGUAAAAUCACUGUUUUGGAGAGUUGGACUGUUUUUUUCUUUGGGAACACUUUUUUUGGACGUUUUGCACUACAUUAAAGGAGGCACAUCUACAUUUUCUUUCAUUUUCCUGCCUUUUUCCAACAGAAAACCAUAAAAAAAUCAAUUUAUCAAUUUUUUUUAUCAAUUUUAUUUCUUGUAUUUGUAUUUCUGCAGCUUCUGCUCCUAAAAAAGCUGGAAUAUCUUUUGUUUUUAUCCAGCAGAACUGCAGCCCACACGAAGAACACAAGAAAAACAACAGCUAAACUCUGCUUUUUUAUUAUUUUUUAACAUUUUUUAAGGACAAAAUCUGACCUGGAGUGUCACACAGCUCUAUAUACAUCCUAUAUACAUUUUUAUCAUUUUUAAUUCCUGUGUUAUUGUUGAAAAUGGCUGCCAUUGGUUUGGUGCAGAUGUUGAUCGAAGCUGCUGAGUAUCUGGAUCGAAGGGAAAGAGAAGCCGAGCAUGGGUACGCCUCAAUGUUACCAUUCACCAGCCAUAAAGACCGGGACGGGUCCAAGCGGAAAAAUAAAAGCAAGAAAAACUGCAGCAGCAGGUAAAUGACCUAGUUUCCGCCGCAUCUGGGGCUUUGCGUUAAAAAAAAAACGUAUAAAGUGGUCAUGC